rnacentral:lncRNA from 1 species
CCUGCUGAACUUCACUAAGUUCAACCUUAGAGGCAACAAUUCCUUCACUAAGAAAUUCCCUUUCCAAAAAGGUUGCCUUAAGUCCUACGAACACCUUUUGUUCAUUAGGAAGGUAGAAGUAAUAACCCCUAGUUUCCUUGGGGUACCCUACAAAAUAACACUUAUCGGACCUAGGACCAAGUUUGUCAGUUUGAGAACGUUUAACAUAAGCCGGACAUC